CCAGCUUCGCUGCUGCUCCUUGGGAUGGAAGAGAAAAGAGAGGAGACCGCCGCCGGCUGCCCAUCCGGUCAUCCGCAGCCUCGCCGGCGCCAUCGACCAAGCUUGAUCGCGCCAGCAUCGCAGGAAACUUUGCCGCAGGGUAACAGGGAUUGUGCCACCACAUAUCAGGCCAAUUGAUAGUGCACCGUUGGGAAAAUCUGCAUCGCAUAGUUGGUUACGGGACAACUCUCCCAUAAAUGUAGAUCUGCCUAAGAUGUGAUGCACCAAAUAAGGUUCUGAAAAAUGGUUUAUUUUGUCUUUGCUUUAUGGUAUAAAUAAACAUUGUUGGCUUACCUAACAAAUUAACGAUGUUUCAUGAAUGGAGGCAUAUCGUAUUGGAUAUGUUAUAUAAGAUGGUUCUGCACAGAGUAUGUUAUCAAAAUCCAGGUAACUAGAAAGCACCAACCUUGUUGCGGCUCUAUGUUAUACUAGCUUUCUCUACUAAAUUCCAAUCUUAAGUAUGUAAGAGCGUCACAUAUUUUUUGAAUAUUCAUUAAUUUUGGCUAGCAGUCCUCAAAUACUAACAUGUGUAUCAUAGCAGAUGUAGCUACAUUUAUUUCUGAGAAUAGACAUCUUCAACUUGUGUAUCUUUGUCUUUGUACUCUUUCUAGUUUGUUGUCACCUGUACAGAUAGAUACGAGAUCCAUCCACUUAUCCAACAACUCCAAAUGAUUAUUGAUUACUGAUAAGCAUUGCACUCUAUGCAACCACUCCAAAGUAUAUGGCACUAUAGGUUUCUUGAAGAAAAGGUACAUUAGCAAUGUGCAACAUCAGAAUAUACUGAUGGUGGAUCUUCUUGCUCUUUUUAGCUAUCGCAUUUAAGAAGUCUUACUUCUGAGCAUGACAAUAUUUGUUUAAAAAGAACGAUGCACAUCACAUUCUUAUAAUAGCAAGGUAACAGGAUUGUAAGUCUUUACUGAAGGCAUUAGCUAGGGUGUUCAGGCAGUCAUGCUCAAUAGCAAAAGAAUUGGCUUGCUGAGGUGGUCCUUGUGGUGCUAGUUUGGUUAGUAGUUGGGAGGUAAGCUACUCACUCUUUGUGAUGAUUAUGCUGUAGGUUUGUCCUUUCAUGUGAACUAAUAUAUGAACAAACUGAAGAACUGCCUAAAGGUGUCCUUGCUGCAACGAUGUUAUGAAUAAUAGGCUGAGCCGACAUUAUUAUCUUGUAAUGUAUAUUCCAUACCACUUAGUGUUUUUCUCUGAAACUAUAUCUAUACUGUACGUACUAUACUAUAUAAUUCACAAAGUUGGUUAUAUUUUCAUUUUUGAAUGGAUAGAUCUUCUGGAAAAGUUCAUGAACAAUUAUUUUUUGUUCUUUCAAUUUCGGGGCAAUUGCAAAUUUACCACUGCUUUGAAUUGUUAUUGCAAAACUGCCACUAGAAAAUUACAAAAAUGCCACUGGAACUGUCAUUCGAGUGGCAUCCUUGCAAAAUUGAAAAAACCGGUGGCAAAUUUGCAAAUGCCCCAUCAAUUUCUCAUAGGUCAUGGUUAUAUCUCUCCUUGUUGCAAAUUUAAUGGUUUCGACAAUGGAAAGUGGGGUCAAGCAUUUAGGUGGUGUUACUUAGUGGAGUAGUUUUUACUAACCAUCCCCACGGAAUGGAAAAUUAGUACAAUGGUACCAUUUUACACUUUUCUGGCAAAAUGUAUCUACUUAUUUUUUAAACUAAACCGGAAUAAGAAUUACCAAUUGUGUUUCAAUAAGUAGAAGUAAAAACUCAGACGGGUUACAAGGAAAAGAAAAACAACUACCUGCGGUCAGCUGAACAACCACACAGCACACACAACAACUUACAAUACCAUGCUCUUUAAAUUGGCAAUAUAAUCUAUUUAGUCUUGAAUCAAGUCCUGGUGCAAUGUUUGCUCUGUACAGACCCCCCCCCUCUCAAUUAGACACUGAAUUAAAACUGUCUUCCUACGUACAAAAAUCUGUGGCUGAUUUUUUUUUACUCAGAGUUAUUUUGACUAGUAAAGUAGUGGAACUAUUAGCAGAGUGAAUAUUUUCUUGAGUAAUUAAGAAGGUGAUUCUAAUGUCUUGAGUAACUAUUAUAAACUAGCCGACUAUUUCAUCCACAGCUACACAUCUUGAUUUGGUUUUACAUUGUAACGUGGUAAGUUUUUGUGCCAUUGUGUGGUUAUAAAAAAAAUGCUAGGAGUUUGCUAGUCACCAUUUACUUGAUUUUCUAGCAAGGUUUGGAGAUGUAAAGAUAAGUUAACCCAUGCUCACUUUUGUGUUGUCAGGUUUAGCAUAGAUUUUACCUUGUCAUAUAAAUCCAUUUUUUACAAAAUCUGGAUUGGAAGCCAUUCCUGAGUUACCUGAGAUUCUUUCUUGAUUAAAAUAUUGAUGCAUGAAAAUAUUUGGGUCCUUGAUCUUUUUUACAACACCUGCCUAUUAAAGAUGAAUUAAAUACCUGAUAACAACACUAUUCUUACACAUUGUAUGAGUCCCUUUCAUAUGCUGUGUAUACAUACUCAUCAGGAUACCUAUAGCUGGGGUCAAAUCGGUGUCAACAGAAUUCUACUUCAAGUAUGUGCCAUUAUUCUGACAGAAAUACGAUGGCAACUUAUGCCUGCUAAUUGACGAAGUAGUUACAGAAUGUGCACUUGGACUUGUCAAGAACUAGUUCUCUACACAUUAAGACUCCUUUUGCUGUUAGUGUCGAUGAACUACUUUGAGGUAUAGUUUUGCAGUUAGACUGCCAUGCUAUUGGCUGUUGACUACCACUGAUCUUUAUCUUUUUGGAAUGGAUUUUGUUCAUACACCAGUAGCACUACCUCCACUUUCAGAACUGAACGUCGGUUUUACUUUCUGUCACAAAAUGCAUAUGAUGUGUCAAUUGUUCUUAAUUUGACAAGGCUAAUGCUUACAUUUUCCUGGUUACUGUUGUGCUACAGGAUGCUUCCUGGAAGAAUGAAUUGAGCUUGUCUAUGUACUCCCCCGAGGUUACACAGAUAGACCUCUCAUACUUAUGGUAGCUGCCGGUUGGUUGUCAUGGCACACUCCCUUGGCAACUCUUAAUUACACGACUGAAGGAUUGGAGUCCUGCAUUUGUUGAAGAACUCCAUGAAGGUAUCAAAUGUGCUUCUUAUGGACCAUGGCACUAUGGCAGCAAUGCCAGCAUGGUUGGAUGUGGUUGGGCCAGGAAAAAUGUAACCUGGUCGGCCUCACCCCGCUGGUCCAAAGCCUGCCUGAUCUGGGGCUGGAACACAAAAAAGCACAUAGCUGCUGUACAAAGCUACUCCCUCUGUUUUACAAUGUAAGUCAUUCUAGCAUUUCCCAUAUUCAUAUUGAUGUUAAUAAAUCUAGAUAACAUCAAUAUGAAUAUGAGAAAUGCUAGAAUGACUUAUAUUGUGAAACGGAGGAAGUAGCUGAUUGGCGUCAGGCAGUUGAGAAUAUCACCGAGCCAGGCUAGGACAGGUUGAGACUUCAUCAGCUUAAUUGUUCAUGCAAUGCCAGGUUCACUAGGCAGAAGCAGAGGAUUCUGCAGGUUAGCAUAAAAGGGACGUGUAACAGAGAGAGACACGACACAGGCCAUGUCAUAAUCAGGGUAGGUCCGGCAUUAAACGAAAGAUUAGGGCACUGUUUAUCUUUGCACUCAAUGAAUGAGAACAGGGCAAGAAAAAAAAGUUGGGAGCUGAUUUCGUUUGCACUGAAUGUGAUCGGGGGACCAACACAGUUGCCGACAGCAACCGUCGGAGAGGUCCAUGAGGUCGGCGACCUGCUCCGCCGCCGCCUCGUCGAACAGCCACUUCUCGAUCGAUGACAGCGGCGGCGCUGCCUGGUUCAUCAGCUGCUGCUUGCUCUCGUCGCCGUAGCCGCCGCCAUAGCCGCCGUACUCCAUGAACGACGCCGGCUGCUGCUGCUGGUGCUGCUGAUGAACGUCGAAGCAGCAGUCCAGGUCGGCGCCGGACAUGCAGUCGAAGGACGACAGCAAGGGGUUGCCGCCGACAUCGACGGCGGGCUUGACGUCGUCGUAAUAGCCGCUGUCAUAGUGCUGCAGCGGUGGCGGCGGCGGCGACGGGGAGUUGGUCUUCAUGAAGCCGUCGAGCAGCUUGGAGAUGUUGUCCAUGCUGGAGGCGUAUGAGGAGGAUGGGCAGUCGGCGAAGGGGGAGCGCCUAGCAAUGGCUGCCAUCUGGGUGACAUCGGAGUUGCUGCUCACCGUGUAGCUACCGCCGGCGGCGGAGGGGAAGGUGGCGUCGGCGAAGAUGGGGUGGCGGUUGGAGGAUGAAGUGGAGUUGGCGGCGGCGGCGAGCUUCUUCUUGAGGUGGGUGUUCCAGUAGUUCUUGAUGUCGUUGUCGGUGCGCUGGGGGAGGUAGGAGGCGAUGGCGGCCCAGCGGUUGCCGAGAAGCGACUGGAGGUGGACGAUGAUCCCCUCCUCGUGCGCCGUGAAGUUGCCGCGCUUUAUCCCCGGCCGCAGGUAGUUCGUCCACCGCAGCCUGCAGCUCUUGCUGCACCUCAUCAGCCCUGCAUCCAUCCAUCCACCCACAGCUUCAGCUUCUUCUCAGUUCAUCAUCGAUCACCAUGGCUACUUGGCUAGCUAUAGUUCAUCUACAAAAGAAAGUAAGAAACUACACAGAAUUGGGGAAUUAGGACGUACCAGUGUUGAUGGGAACCGAUCUCCAGUUGCCGGGGCCGUGUUCUUGGAUGUAGGAGACGAGGAUGAUGUCCUCCUCGGGCGUCCAUGGCCCCUUCUUGAUCCCCUCCUUGUCGCAGCACGGCGGCCGGCCCAUGGCUACAAUUCCUCACUCACUAAUUAACUCUGAUCCUUCCCGGAUCGAUCGAUCGAGCUAACUACUCUUUCUGGAAGCUGCAGCUAGCUGAUCGAUCGAUCGGUCGUCUCUCUCUGUGCUACCUGAGCUUCCGACAGUGUGCUUGAGUGUAGAGAUAUAUAUAGCUAGGAGACUGGGGACUUUGGGAGUGAGUGAGCUCCUUUUCACUUGCUAUCUCUGAUGUAAGCCACUUUCUGAUCGAUCGAUGAGAUGAUUUACUUUCACUUUCUAGCAAGUCAGUUGAUCUGGUUAUCGAUCGAUCGAUCGAUCUGUCUGUAUGUAGGAUGCUUUCUCUUUCUGUCAA